GGAGCUUCAUCAGGGGUGAAGAAGCCGUUCAUUCAGGGACAUAAGAGGAGAGAAGGGGAUGCAAGUGCCAUAUCUUCUUAUCAGAACAGGGGUAACUAGAGGAAUGACUUUCAGAACUAUCAUCAGCAACCGUAUGUUGCGGCUGUGACCAUUCCGGCUGCAGCACCACUACAACAACAACAACCACAACGUCAACCAGCUCAGUAC
rnacentral:lncRNA from 1 species